GAUAAACGCUGGCGGCGUGCCUAAUACAUGCAAGUCGAGCGAACGGACGAGAAGCUUGCUUCUCUGAUGUUAGCGGCGGACGGGUGAGUAACACGUGGAUAACCUACCUAUAAGACUGGGAUAACUUCGGGAAACCGGAGCUAAUACCGGAUAAUAUUUUGAACCGCAUGGUUCAAAAGUGAAAGACGGUCUUGCUGUCACUUAUAGAUGGAUCCGCGCUGCACUAGCUAGUUGGUAAGGUAACGGCUUACCAAGGCAACGAUGCAUAGCCGACCUGAGAGGGUGAUCGGCCACACUGGAACUGAGACACGGUCCAGACUCCUACGGGAGGCAGCAGUAGGGAAUCUUCCGCAAUGGGCGAAAGCCUGACGGAGCAACGCCGCGUGAGUGAUGAAGGUCUUCGGAUCGUAAAACUCUGUUAUUAGGGAAGAACAUAUGUGUAAGUAACUGUGCACAUCUUGACGGUACCUAAUCAGAAAGCCACGGCUAACUACGUGCCAGCAGCCGCGGUAAUACGUAGGUGGCAAGCGUUAUCCGGAAUUAUUGGGCGUAAAGCGCGCGUAGGCGGUUUUUUAGUCUGAUGUGAAAGCCCACGGCUCAACCGUGGAGGGUCAUUGGAAACUGGAAAACUUGAGUGCAGAAGAGGAAAGUGGAAUUCCAUGUGUAGCGGUGAAAUGCGCAGAGAUAUGGAGGAACACCAGUGGCGAAGGCGACUUUCUGGUCUGUAACUGACGCUGAUGUGCGAAAGCGUGGGGAUCAAACAGGAUUAGAUACCCUGGUAGUCCACGCCGUAAACGAUGAGUGCUAAGUGUUAGGGGGUUUCCGCCCCUUAGUGCUGCAGCUAACGCAUUAAGCACUCCGCCUGGGGAGUACGACCGCAAGGUUGAAACUCAAAGGAAUUGACGGGGACCCGCACAAGCGGUGGAGCAUGUGGUUUAAUUCGAAGCAACGCGAAGAACCUUACCAAAUCUUGACAUCCUUUGACAACUCUAGAGAUAGAGCCUUCCCCUUCGGGGGACAAAGUGACAGGUGGUGCAUGGUUGUCGUCAGCUCGUGUCGUGAGAUGUUGGGUUAAGUCCCGCAACGAGCGCAACCCUUAAGCUUAGUUGCCAUCAUUAAGUUGGGCACUCUAAGUUGACUGCCGGUGACAAACCGGAGGAAGGUGGGGAUGACGUCAAAUCAUCAUGCCCCUUAUGAUUUGGGCUACACACGUGCUACAAUGGACAAUACAAAGGGCAGCGAAACCGCGAGGUCAAGCAAAUCCCAUAAAGUUGUUCUCAGUUCGGAUUGUAGUCUGCAACUCGACUACAUGAAGCUGGAAUCGCUAGUAAUCGUAGAUCAGCAUGCUACGGUGAAUACGUUCCCGGGUCU
rnacentral:rRNA from 1 species